CUUACCGUAGUUGUUCAUUUAAACCCUGUGAGGUUACCUUACCUUACCGUAGUUGUUCAUUUAAACCCUGUGAGUUUACCUUACCGUAGUUGUUUAUUUAAACCCUGUGAGGUUACCUUACCGUAGUUGUUCAUUUAAACCCUGUGAGGUUACCUUACCGUAGUUGUUUAUUUAAACCCUGUGAGGUUACCUUACCGUAGUUGUUUAUUUAAACCCUGUGAGUUUACCUUACCGUAGUUGUUUAUUUAAACCCUGUGAGGUUACCUUACCUUACCGUAGUUGUUUAUUUAAACCCUGUGAGGUUACCUUACCGUAGUUGUUUAUUUAAACCCUGUGAGGUUACCUUACCUUAGUUGUUUAUUUAAACCCUGUGAGGUUACCUUACCUUAGUUGUUUAUUUAAACCCUGUGAGGUUACCUUACCUUACCGUAGUUGUUUAUUUAAACCCUGUGAGGUUACCUUAACCGUAGUUGUUUAUUUAAACCCUGUGAGGUUACCUUACCGUAGUUGUUUAUUUAAACCCUGUGAGGUUACCUUACCGUAGUUGUUUAUUUAAACCCUGUGAGGUUACCUUAACCGUAGUUGUUUAUUUAAACCCUGUGAGGUUACCUUACCGUAGUUGUUUAUUUAAACCCUGUGAGGUUACCUUACCGUAGUUGUUUAUUUAAACCCUGUGAGGUUACCUUACCGUAGUUGUUUAUUUAAACCCUGUGAGGUUACCUUACCUUACCGUAGUUGUUUAUUUAAACCCUGUGAGGUUACCUUACCGUAGUUGUUUAUUUAAACCCUGUGAGGUUACCUUAACCGUAGUUGUUUAUUUAAACCCUGUGAGGUUACCUUACCGUAGUUGUUUAUUUAAACCCUGUGAGGUUACCUUACCGUAGUUGUUUAUUUAAACCCUGUGAGUUUACCUUACCGUGAGGUUACCUUACCUUAGUUGUUUAUUUAAACCCUGUGAGGUUACCUUACCUUACCGUAGUUGUUUAUUUAAACCCUGUGAGGUUACCUUACCGUAGUUGUUUAUUUAAACCCUGUGAGGUUACCUUAACCGUAGUUGUUUAUUUAAACCCUGUGAGGUUACCUUACCGUAGUUGUUUAUUUAAACCCUGUGAGGUUACCUUACCGUAGUUGUUUAUUUAAACCCUGUGAGGUUACCUUACCGUAGUUGUUUAUUUAAACCCUGUGAGGUUACCUUACCUUACCGUAGUUGUUCAUUUAAACCCUGUGAGUUUACCUUACCGUGAGGUUACCUUACCGUAGUUGUUUAUUUAAACCCUGUGAGUUUACCUUACCGUAGUUGUUUAUUUAAACCCUGUGAGUUUACCUUACCGUGGUUGUUCAUUUAAACCCUGUGAGGUUACCUUACCGUGAGGUUACCUUACCGUAGUUGUUUAUUUAAACCCUGUGAGGUUACCUUACCUUACCGUAGUUGUUCAUUUAAACCCUGUGAGUUUACCUUACCGUAGUUGUUUAUUUAAACCCUGUGAGUUUACCUUACCUUACCGUAGUUGUUUAUUUAAACCCUGUGAGGUUACCUUACCGUAGUUGUUUAUUUAAACCCUGUGAGGUUACCUUACCUUACCGUAGUUGUUCAUUUAAACCCUGUGAGGUUACCUUACCGUGAGGUUACCUUACCGUAGUUGUUUAUUUAAACCCUUUGAGGUUACCUUACCGUAGUUGUUUAUUUAAACCCUUUGAGGUUACCUUACCGUAGUUGUUAAUUUAAACCCUGUGAGGUUACCUUACCGUGAGGUUACCUUACCGUAGUUGUUUAUUUAAACCCUGUGAGGUUACCAAGUGCCCUGCAUCUGGUCAUCAGAGAUAGAGAAGUACAUUGUGGUUGUUGGUUCCGUGGUUCAACCUGUUGUUGGGUCCGUGGUUCAACCUGUUGUUGGGUCCGUGGUUCAACCUGUUGUUGGGUCCGUGGUUCAACCUGUUGUUGGGUCCGUGGUUCAACCUGUUGUUGGGUCCGUGGUUCAACCUGUUGUUGGGUCCGUGGUUCAACCUGUUGUUGGGUCCGUGGUUCAACCUGUUGUUGGGUCCGUGGUUCAACCUGUUGUUGGGUCCGUGGUUCAACCUGUUGUUGGGUCCGUGGUUCAACCUGUUGUUGGGUCUUUGGUUCAACCUGUUGUUGGGUCCGUGGUUCAACCUGUUGUUGGGUCCGUGGUUCAACCUGUUGUUGGGUCCGUGGUUCAACCUGUUGUUGGGUCCGUGGUUCAACCUGUUGUUGGGUCCGUGGUUCAACCUGUUGUUGGGUCCGUGGUUCAACUUCUCUCCCUUUUUUAAAAAUGCUUAAUUUAAAAAAAAAAAAAUACAAGAAUU